rnacentral:rRNA from 1 species
GACGAACGCUGGCGGCGUGCUUAACACAUGCAAGUCGAACGAUGAAGCCGGAGCUUGCUCCGGUGGAUUAGUGGCGAACGGGUGAGUAACACGUGAGCAAUCUGCCCUUGACUCUGGGAUAACUGCGGGAAACUGUAGCUAAUACCGGAUACGACACCUUGGGGCAUCCCAGGGUGUGGAAAGAAUUUCGGUCAAGGAUGAGCUCGCGGCCUAUCAGCUAGUUGGUGAGGCAAUGGCUCACCAAGGCGACGACGGGUAGCCGGCCUGAGAGGGUAACCGGCCACACUGGAACUGAGACACGGUCCAGACUCCUACGGGAGGCAGCAGUGGGGAAUAUUGCACAAUGGGCGAAAGCCUGAUGCAGCAACGCCGCGUGAGGGAUGAAGGCCUUCGGGUUGUAAACCUCUUUUAGCAGGGAAGAAGCGAAAGUGACGGUACCUGCAGAAAAAGCACCGGCUAACUACGUGCCAGCAGCCGCCGUAA